AUUGAACGCUGGCGGCAGGCCUAACACAAGCAAGUCGGGCGAUUUUGACUUCGGUCAGAAGAGCGGCGAACGGGUGAGUAACACGUAGGAAUCUGCCUGGUAGUGGGGGACAACGUCUCGAAAGGGACGCUAAUACCGCAUACGCCCUACGGGGGAAAGCCGGGGAUCUUCGGACCUGGCGCUAUCAGAUGAGCCUGCGUCGGAUUAGCUAGUUGGCGGGGUAAAGGCCCACCAAGGCGACGAUCCGUAACUGGUCUGAGAGGAUGAUCCGCCACACUGGGACUGAGACACGGCCCAGACUCCUACGGGAGGCAGCAGUGGGGAAUAUUGGACAAUGGGGGGAACCCUGAUCCAGCCAUGCCGCGUGUGUGAAGAAGGCCUUAUGGUUGUAAAGCACUUUAAGCGAGGAGGAGGCUCUUUUGGUUAAUACCCAAGAUGAGUGGACGUUACUCGCAGAAUAAGCACCGGCUAACUCUGUGCCAGCCGCCGCUGUAA
rnacentral:rRNA from 1 species